rnacentral:rRNA from 1 species
UACGGGGGGGGCAAGCGUUGUUCGGAAUUACUGGGCGUAAAGGGCUCGUAGGUGGCCAACUAAGUCGGACGUGAAAUCCCUCGGCUUAACCGGGGAACUGCGUCCGAUACUGGUUGGCUUGAGUUUGGGAGAGGGAUGCGGAAUUCCAGGUGUAGCGGUGAAAUGCGUAGAUAUCUGGAGGAACACCGGUGGCGAAGGCGGCAUCCUGGACCAAUACUGACGCUGAAGCGCGAAAGCCAGGGGAGCAAACGGG